GUAAACUAGUUUAGGGUUUAAAAGUUUCGAUAAAUUUUUUUUCAAUCAUCAUUAUUUACCAAUCGAAUCGUUUUUGCAUCCUCUACAAGGAUUCUAGGCCAAACAGUUGAUUAGUUUAUUAAUUUU